rnacentral:lncRNA from 1 species
CCAAGCUACAGCCCAGGGGGAGGUGGCUUCAGGCUACUGGAGCCUGCUUGGCCUGUGGUCUGCAAAGAUGAGAAGUGCCUGGGAGUUUAUAGCAUCUGGGAGGCAGCUUCUGACUAGUGAUGAAGAAUGCAGGAGGAGGCAGGAACUCCAGGGAAGACGACAGACUUGUCAUCCUCAAAUGUAACUUCCAUGUCUACUUCCAAAGUGUCCACUCUGGUGGUCACCAUCUCCAGCCAGCCGGAAAGGCCAAAAGGACCACAGGAAUCCACACAUAUUAUUUUCAAGGGCAUACCACUUGUGAUCACACCUUGUGGGCCAGAAACGAGUCACGUGGCUUCACUUUGCUGCAAGGGAAGCUAAGAGAUGUUGACCAGUUUGGGCAGCCAUGUGCCCAGCUAAUAGCCUACCACUGUGGGACUAGGGAG